UACGUAGGGUGCAAGCGUUGUCCGGAAUUAUUGGGCGUAAAGGGCUCGUAGGCGGUCCAUCGCGUCGGGAGUGAAAAGCUGGGGCUUAACCCCAGUCCUGCUUCCGAUACGGGUGGACUAGAGUGCGGUAGGGGGAGACUGGAAUUCCUGGUGUAGCGGUGAAAUGCGCAGAUAUCAGGAGGAACACCGAUGGCGAAAGCGGCUCACUGGAUCUCUUCUGACGCUGAGGCACGAAAGCUAGGGUAGCGAACGGG
rnacentral:rRNA from 1 species